GAACGCCCCGUUUGGAAACCUGAGCUCCAUACAAAAUGGAAGAGGUUUUUCCACAAGUUUUCAUUUGUUUCUCACUCUUGGCAGCUGGGCUCCUAAAGGAACUGCAGUGCUGCACGUGGAUCCCUGGUAAGGCUAGGAGAGCUAACUAGGAUAUAGCCGGUGGCUGGGAGAUUAUCCUAGCUGAGAGGCAAGGAUAAGAAGCCAGGGUUCUUCUCACUCCUAGCCACAACGGAGAGGCUACGCUUGCCCAAGCAGCAAGAGAUUCUGAGAGCCUGCUUUGACCAGUUUGUCUUCUGCUUCAGGAAUGCCCUGUGGAAGACCAGGAACUUGCUCAUAAACAGAUACACAAACCUCUCAGUAGAGGGCUGCAUCAAAAUGGGACUGAGUGAAAUGUACUGGUACUACAGAGAGAUGGCAGACAUCACGUGGAAGAGAGGGGCCUGCCUCUCAAUAAAACAUCCUGCCCUAAAUGCACGACAAACUGGGCACUGAUACCAAAAGGCUUCGUGAUCUUCAAGUGUCCCAGGAAGCGCCUGGAAGGGGUUGGUGAGUCAAGCCCAGUACUUAGCACUGCUGCUUACUGCAGCCCCAGGCUGGAGCAGGGCAGAAGCAACCCUGUUGUUUCCCCCACCCCUAGAGCAACUGGGAAAGAAGCAGUGGGUCCCCCUCCUCUCCCUGUGCCAGGAGGAAAUUUUUUUUUAGACAAACACUGCUGGAGAAGGGGAGCGCCUGUGUGAAAGGGUUCAUGGAUUCAAAAAAGUCCCUGACAGCUGUUGCUGUUCAGUUUGCCCACUGACUUCUUUAUUCUUGAAUUAAAAGUACCUGGUUUUCUUUUUUGUUAAAGAGCCUGCCUCACUGGUUAUCAAAACACAGGAAAAAACAUAGGCUAUUGGUAGCAUGCUCUGGAGGGAUAUAGGUAUGCCUGGUAGUGAAGAGAACCACAUUCAGUAAGUCAGUUAUUUUGUACUUCUUUGAAUCAUGGUUUCCCUCCCACCCCCAAAAUGAAGCUAACACAAAUCAGAAAUGUGUUCAUGACUUGUUAUUUGAGGCCACAUUUUUAAAGAAAUGCAAAUAACCUUUGUAACUAUAUCAAAGAAGAAACAGUGUAGUAUGAAGAAUGACUCCAAAAUGUUUAAACCACUAAAAUCCAUUAUAAAACCUGGCUUCAAAGAGAGCAACGAAGCAAAGAAGCUGACAACUUGUUAAGAAACACCUGUAGUAGUAGUAGUAUGUGCUGAUAAGGACCAGGUAAAGGAAAAUACAAAUCAACUACUAUGGGUCAUCAAGGGCAUGUUAGGUCAAAACAAUUUGUGAAUAUAAUUACUGAACUACUGACAAUUAUUCUUUUGGAGCUACCAGAAAACCAAUGGAAAGUAAAUAUAGUGUCAGUUUUAAAAGAAAUCUGGUGACUGUGAUGGCCUACUUAUUAUUAAUUGUUAUUAUUAGCUCUUACAUAGCAUUUUCCAAGCACCGUCACUUUCAUGCUUAGUGAAAUACCAUUAAGUUUAAACUAGGUGACUAGAUGCUACACAUCCUUUUUUGUGUUAUCCAGUAUGGGCUAUCCACUAGCUAAUCAAGCACAAAAGUGUAGGAAACUUGAGUUUAUAAAGAAUAAAUUUUCCCAGGCAAUCUUAAUAGCUCUUUUAAAAAUAGAAUUUAAAAAACCAGCAAACAAAAUGAAUGCCACUAAUGUUGGUCUACUUAUAAAAGUCUAAGGCAUUUUAAAUUUGAUUUCAUAAAAACUUAAUUUAAAUGGCUUUGACUAUUAUCUUGCAGCUUGAAAGCAAGCUAAUAGGCCAGGGGAAAAAAAAAAGAUAAACAGUAAUGUACCACAUUGUCUGGGGAAAAGUCCCUCAUCACAGAAUCUAGUGUUGGCUCCAGUCUCAUUUAAAAAUCAAUAUUCAUGAGCUCAAAAGAGGAGUCAACAUUGCAUAAAUAGCAUUCAGAGAUAAUACUAUAUAGAGAGGAGAUGCACAAAGCAGUGCAAGAGGCAAUAUAGUAUAAAGGAAACUACAGAGAAAAAAAGAAGCAGAAAAUAACCCAGUGAGAUUGAGCAGAGUUGUCACAUUCCACCUUGCCUUAGGUCCCAAUUUGGCAAAAGAGGCUCAAGUACAUGUCCAUUGUUAAGCUAGGUUUUUAAGCACCUUACAGAACUAUAGUCUUAACCAUUUUUCCACAGACUGAUACCUUCAGCAUCUAAAAUAUACACACUCUUCUGAAUUGAAUUCUAUUACACUGCAGUGUCUAGAGCUAAAAGCAAUAUAUCGGGCAUGCUCACAACAGAGCUUUAUAGAGAGGGACCUCCUGCUCCAUUCCUUCAAGUAACUCAACAAUGAUCUUUUUAAAUAUCAGUACAGUAUAACCUCAUGAAUCCGGCAUGCUCGGGACUGAGCACCUGCCAGAAAUUUGAAAACUCUGGAUUUUUUAAACCAGAGCAGUGGCCAGUUCUGGGGCCGUGGGGAGGUAGCAGCAGGCGGUUCCAGAGUGGCAGCACGGGGUGGUGGAUGGCGGUGGCAGCUGCUGCACGCAAGGUUCCCUCCUGCUGCUCUGGGACCGGCUGCCGCUACUCCCCAAACUAGUGUAGUUUUAAAAAGUGCUGGAUUUUUGAGAAUUUUGGAUAUUUGAUAUCCAGAUUUAUGAGGUUAUACUGUACUACCAUACACUGCAUUGCAAACUUAUUUCUACCUCAGUUUCCUCUGUUUCUCUUUCAGCUUCAUUGCUUGCCCAUUCUAUUGGUAUAUGUUUCUGAUUAUUGUUUUGCAAAUACAUUAGUUUGUAUUUUUCAAGCUAAAUCUUACUGGGUUACCUUUGAGCCAUAUUUUGCCUCUAGGUCCCUUUACAUUAUCUCUUUUUCGCUGGCUUCUCAGAUCAUUCCUAAUGGAUACCAUGUGAAAAUGUCCCCAGUGUGCUAUUUACUUCCAAACCAUUGAUGAGUACAUAAGGUCAGAGCUAACAUGCAGACAACAGUAUCCUACCAACCAGCUACUCUUCACUUGAUAAGAAAUGUUAUUUUAUUUAUUUUUAUAAUCUAUUUUAUUUUACCAUUCCCCAAGCUGGAUAAAGAUUGAUGAUUUUUUUUUAACAACAAUCUGUGUUUCCUUUUAGAGAGUAAAUUAUAUCAAUUAAGUGUUAAGGCCUAAACUAAUUAUAAUCUAUUAAAAGUAAAUAAAAAUAGCAUUCAAACACUA